AACGAACGCUGGCGGCAUGCCUAACACAUGCAAGUCGAACGAGACCUUCGGGUCUAGUGGCGCACGGGUGCGUAACGCGUGGGAACCUGCCCUUAGGUUCGGAAUAACUCUCCGACAGGGGUGCUAAUACCGGAUAAUGUCUUCGGACCAAAGAUUUAUCGCCUUUGGAUGGGCCCGCGUUGGAUUAGCUAGUUGGUAGGGUAAAAGCCUACCAAGGCGACGAUCCAUAGCUGGUUUGAGAGGAUGAUCAGCCACACUGGGACUGAGACACGGCCCAGACUCCUACGGGAGGCAGCAGUGGGGAAUAUUGGACAAUGGGCGAAAGCCUGAUCCAGCAAUGCCGCGUGAGUGAUGAAGGCCGUAGGGUUGUAAAGCUCUUUUACCCGGGAUGAUAAUGACAGUACCGGGAGAAUAAGCUCCGGCUAACUCCGUG
rnacentral:rRNA from 1 species